rnacentral:rRNA from 1 species
AGUGAACGCUGGCGGUAGGCCUAACACAUGCAAGUCGAACGGCAGCACAGUAAGAGCUUGCUCUUACGGGUGGCGGGUGGGGGACGGGUGAGGUAUGUAUCGGAAUCUACUUUUUCGUGGGGGAUAACGUAGGGAGACUUACGCUAAUAUCGCAUAUGACCUACGGGUGAAAGCAGGGGAUAUUCGGACCUUGCGGGAUUGAAUGAGCCGAUGUCGGAUUUGCUAGUUGGCGGGGUAAAGGCCCACCAAGGCGACGAUCCGUAGCUGGUCUGAGAGGCUGAUCGGCCACACUGGAACUGGAACACGGUCCAGACUCCUACGGGAGGCAGCAGUGGGGAAUAUUGGACAAUGGGCGCAAGCCUGAUCCAGCCAUCCCGCGUGUGUGAAGAAGGCCUUCUGGUUGUAAAGCCCUUUUGUUGGGAAAGAAAAGCUGUAGGUUAAUACCCCGCUGUACUGACGGUACCCAAAGAAUAAGCACCGGCUAACUUCGUG